ACGCUUUUUACUUUAGCUUGCUAGAGUAGAAGGAGUUGCGAACGGGUGAGUAACGCGUAGGUAACCUACCUACUAGCGGGGGAUAACUAUUGGAAACGAUAGCUAAUACUGCACAAGAGUGUUUAACACAUGUUAGAAGCUUGAAAGAUGCAAAUGCAUCACUAGUAGAUGGACCUGCGUUGUAUUAGCUAGUUGGUGGGGUAAUGGCUUACCAAGGCGACGAUACAUAGCCGACCUGAGAGGGUGAACGGCCACACUGGGACUGAGACACGGCCCAGACUCCUACGGGAGGCAGCAGUAGGGAAUCUUCGGCAAUGGGGGCAACCCUGACCGAGCAACGCCGCGUGAGUGAAGAAGGUUUUCGGAUCGUAAAGCUCUGUUGUAAGAGAAGAACGAGUGUGAGAGUGGAAAGUUCACACAGUGACGGUAACUUACCAGAAAGGGACGGCUAACUACGUGCCAGCAGCCGCGGUAAUACGUAGGUCCCGAGCGUUGUCCGGAUUUAUUGGGCGUAAAGCGAGCGCAGGCGGUUUAAUAAGUCUGAAGUUAAAGGCAGUGGCUUAACCAUUGUUCGCUUUGGAAACUGUUAAACUUGAGUGCAGAAGGGGAGAGUGGAAUUCCAUGUGUAGCGGUGAAAUGCGUAGAUAUAUGGAGGAACACCGGUGGCGAAAGCGGCUCUCUGGUCUGUAACUGACGCUGAGGCUCGAAAGCGUGGGGAGCAGACAGGAUUAGAUACCCUG
rnacentral:rRNA from 1 species